UUUGACCUCGGAUCAGGUAGGGAUACCCGCUGAACUUAAGC
rnacentral:rRNA from 5 species